rnacentral:ncRNA from 1 species
GCGGACUUCAUCCGCUGGGAUGUAACCGCAUGGUUGAACCAUAAA